GUUUAUACAGACAACAGUGGAGAGUACUGGUAUGAGCCUGAAGCAGGGAGAAGAAGUAAUGUUAUCAACCUCUCUGUUACUGCUGGUCCUGUGAUCCUGGAGAGUCCUGCUGUUCCUGUAUUAAUGGAAGAAACGGUGACUCUGAGCUGCAGAAAGAAAAUUUCUUCCUCCAACUUUAAAGCUGAUUUCUACAAAAAUGGACGUCUCAUCCAUACAAGCAUCACAGGAAACAUGACCAUCCACAGGAUUUUCAAAUCAGAUGAAGGAUUUUACAAAUGUAUUAUCUCAGGAGUUGGAGAAUCACCAGAGAGCUGGCUGAAAGUCACAGAUUCUCUUAGUUUAAAAUACACAAAUAAUCUAGACAAGAAUGUGUGCCAUUCCUCAUCUGCUGCCACACCUUGCAUCAUUACCACCAUUUUAGUCAGUGCUCUGUUGGUGGCAGUGGGACUGCAUCACUUUGGCAAAGGUUACUGGAAGAGAGAGACGGGCACAGUGGAUGCAGACAGAGAAACAUAUGCUGCUGUAAGAAAGACAGGAGAUGAAGAUACAUUGCCCUCUAAACCUAGUUGCCACAGCGUAGGCCUUGGUGAUACUCAGCCGCAAGAAGCUGGAACCAGCACAGAGAUGUCCUCAGCAGGUCCCUGCAAACCCAGAGCAGAGUAUCCCCUCAUUUCCACUAAACCACAGGUUGCUAAGAGAGAGCUGCCUGAAAAAAUAGUCACAUCUGAAUGAGAGCAAAAACAAAGAAGCAUUUUCACAUAUUGUUUUUGUUGCUAAGAAAUUUGUACAUUAUCAUCUUAGUUUGGUGUUCAAGUACAUAAACUGUUUUAGCUUAUUUUUUUGUUCAAUCAGAUCCGGCUAGUUGCCUUUCCUAUGUUGUUACAAGUAGAUCUAAAGUUUGAAGACAAGCAAAGGCACCUGCCUGAUAAUUAUAAGUUUAUCUUUAACCAACUUGGUCUAUCUUCUUUCCAUUUUUAGACAUGUAUGAAUGCUGUUACAAUAAAAGAGGUACUGCAGC
ensembl:lncRNA